AAAUAAAUUGUCCAGUAGCACCUUAGAGACCAACUACGUUUGUUCUGGGUAUAAGCUUUCGUGUGCUUGCACACUUCUUCCGAUAUCUGAAGUAUCUGAAGAAGUGUGCAAGCACACGAAAGCUUAUACCAAGAACAAAUUUAGUUGGUCUCUAAGGAGCUACUGGACAAUUUAUUU